GGCCUUUUGAAAAUGAUUUAAGGUUUAGCCUGCCCAAUGAUGUAAUAAUUUAAUGGCCGCAGUAUUCUGACUGUGCAAAGGUAGCAUAAUCAUUAGUUUUUUAAUUGAAAGCUUGUAUGAAAGGUUUGAUGAGAAAAAAGCUGUCUCUAUAUAAAUUUUUAGAAUUUUAUUUUUAAGUUAAAAAGCUUAAAUUUUCAUUGAAGACGAGAAGACCCUAUAGAGUUUGAUUUAUACGAUAGUAAGUAAAAUUUAGUAAUUAAAAACUUAUUUAUUAUUAUAUAAAUUUGGUUGGGGUGAUUGAAAAAUUUAUAAAACUUUUUUUGUAUUUUUACAUUUAUUUGUGAAUAUUUGAUCCUUUAUAGAUUAUAAGAUGAAAUUACCUUAGGGAUAACAGCGUAAUUUUUUUUAGAGUUCUUAUCGAAAAAAGAGAUUGCGACCUCGAUGUUGGAUUAAAAAUAAAUUUUUGGUGUAGAAGCUAAUAAAUUAGGUCUGUUCGACCUUUAAAUUUUUACAUGAUCUGAGUUUAAACCGGUGUAAG
rnacentral:rRNA from 1 species